CCUACGGGAGGCAGCAGUGGGGAAUAUUGCACAAUGGGGGAAACCCUGAUGCAGCGACGCCGCGUGAGUGAAGAAGUAUUUCGGUAUGUAAAGCUCUAUCAGCAGGGAAGAAAAUGACGGUAUCUGAGUAAGAAGCCCCGGCUAACUACGGGCCAGCAGCCGCGGUAAUACGCAGGGGGCAAGCGUUAUCCGGAUGUACUGGGUGUAAAGGGAGCGUAGACGGCAGUGCAAGUCUGGCGUGAAAGGCGGGGGCUCAACCCCCGGACUGCUCUGGAAACUGGACGGCUGGAGUGCAGGAGAGGUAAGUGGAAUUCCUAGUGUAGCGGUGAAAUGCGUAGAUAUUAGGAGGAACACCAGUGGCGAAGGCGGCUUACUGGACUGUAACUGACGUUGAGGCUCGAAAGCGUGGGGAGCAAACAGGAUUAGAUACCCUGGUAGUC
rnacentral:rRNA from 1 species